rnacentral:lncRNA from 1 species
CACCCAAGUCACCCAGCAAGCCGCCAAGUUACGCUCCUCCACCCAAGUCACCCAGCAAGCCGCCAACUUACGCUCCUCCGACCAAGCCACCAACUUACGCCCCUCCACCCAAGCCACCAGUUUAUCCUCCAACUAAGCCACCGACUGCGCCCCCGACUAAGCCACCAGUGCACCCACCAACAUAUCCUCCACCAUCGCCUUCUCCACCUAAGCCGCCAACUUAUCCUAAACCACAAAGGAGCCUAGUGGCUGUUCAGGGCGUUGUUUUUUGCAAGUCAUGCAAAUACGCUGGAUCUGACACCCUGUUGGGAGCGACGCCUAUUUUGGGUCAGUUUGAAACCUAUCAUUAUACUUAAAAAAAGAGAUUAAAAUUUACAUCUUUUCACUACACAAAAACUUUAGGUGCAAUGCUUGGUUAUAUUCAUUUGCAUCGAGAAUUAUUAGCCCUAGUACGUCUAUCUUUUUAAUGGCCUAAUAAUUUGAUUUAGGCAUGCAUGUGAUUUCCAUGUUUGUUUGAAAGGGGAAACUUGCAUUUUAAAUUUGAGUUCAGAGAGAGAGAGAGAGAGAGAGAGAGAGAAAUGGUUUCUUGGAUUUUAACUUAAAAGAGUGACUGUGUGAGGUAACGUCAAUAGCUUGGCGUUUUAUGAGUUAAAGCAGCAAACUUUACCUUUUUUCAACGUUAGAGCUCAUACUUCUAGGUUCCUACAACAUCAAUGACUGGCAUGCAUUGCAUUGUCAAGGAACCCUACGUUGAAACUUGAAACAAAAGGAAAAAACCCAUUAGCUUCUUUUUCUUUUCCCAUCGCAGAGUUAAUUAAUUUAAAACUAUACUCGAGUAAUACUGACUAGACUGAGCACAUUGGUUUUGAUUUUUAUAGGUGCCACUGUAAAGCUGACAUGCAAGAACACAAAAUACAAGCAAGAGGCCACUGCGAAAACUGACAAGAAUGGCUAUUUCUUCCUGCAAGCACCAAAGACCGUCACCAGCUUUGGAGCCCACAAAUGCACAGUGUCUCUAGUAUCAUCGCCAAUGGCUAAAUGCAGCAAACCAUCUAAUCUCCAUGGUGGAUUGAAGGGGGCUACCUUGAGGCCCGAGAAGCCAUUUACUGCGAACAAGCUUCC